GACCACUUUUACAUAUAAAUAAGUUAGACUAUUUCUAACAAUCAGUCAUGUUCACCUAAUCAGGAUUCAUGAUCAGUCAUCAUUAAAUUUAAAUUCAAGAAUGAGGAGAAUUAUUUUUAAGUAGAGUUGACUUUUGUUUUCAAUACUUGAAUUUAAAUCUAAUGGUGACUGAUCAUAAAUUUUUUUGUUAGUGAUUGACCGUGUGAACACUACUCUUCUAACAAUACGUUAGGCGGUCCUUUUCUUAUUUAAUUAGCAAAGUACAUGAACCCAACUUUAGAAUCAUUGCUCUCCUUUGAUAUAAAACACCAGCAGAUAAAGAUAAAAGUGUACGGGAAUCAGGUAUCUUACACCAAUUAAUAAGCUAUAUUUUCUAGGGCUGAUAUUGGUAGGUAUACCGACUUUAUUUACCAAUACCAUGUACCAACCAACUUAUGAUUGGUAGGCAAAAUCCUCUACCAAAACCAACCACCGAAGUUGGUAUACUGACUUAGGUGGUACGGUUGGUACUCGGUUGGUACGGUUGGUAAUAGGCAUCUACCAAGUUUAAAUUGUGGCCUAAAAAAUAAAGUGAUAAAUAUAAAUUUUUCACAAAUAUAAUGCAAUGAUAGCUUUGGUCUGAUGAUAUGUGGUUAUAUUUUCCAUCAGAGCAGUCAUAGUUUCAAAAUAUACCUCUUACUAAAAUUUAAACAUUUUAUAUUUUAAUUGUAUUUAUAUCUAUAGUAUGUUCACUACCAGGACAAGCACUUUAGCCGACGAAAAAGUUUCGUCGGCCUGUUAACUUAAUUCGUCGGCUAAGAUUUUGUCGGGAAAAGGUCGUCGGCGAUAACUUUAGCCGACGAAAUUUUUUCUUUCGUCGGCUAUAGUCCCACAGUUAGCCGACGAAAAACAUGUCGUCGGUUUUUUUCCCAGACUUUAGCCGACGAAACAAUUAAGAUAUUCGUCGGCUAAAGUGUGUAAUAAAUAAUUAAAAAAGAACUAUAGCCGACGAACUUUAGUAUAUUUCGUCGGCUAAACCUUAUAAAAAAUUUAAAAAAAUAACUAUAGCCGACGAAAUAUAAUUUAUUUCGUCGGCUAAACCUUAUAAAAAAANNN
rnacentral:lncRNA from 1 species